rnacentral:rRNA from 1 species
GACGAACGCUGGCGGCGCGCCUAACACAUGCAAGUCGAACGAGCGAGAGAGAGCUUGCUUUCUCGAGCGAGUGGCGAACGGGUGAGUAACGCGUGAGGAACCUGCCUCAAAGAGGGGGACAACAGUUGGAAACGACUGCUAAUACCGCAUAAGCCCACGGGUCGGCAUCGACCAGAGGGAAAAGGAGCAAUCCGCUUUGAGAUGGCCUCGCGCCCGAUUAGCUAGUUGGUGAGGUAACGGCCCACCAAGGCAACGAUCGGUAGCCGGACUGAGAGGUUGAACGGCCACAUUGGGACUGAGACACGGCCCAGACUCCUACGGGAGGCAGCAGUGGGGAGUAUUGCACAAUGGGGGAAACCCUGAUGCAGCGACGCCGCGUGGAGGAAGAAGGUCUUCGGAUUGUAAACUCCUGUUGUUGGGGAAGAUAAUGACGGUACCCAACAAGGAAGUGACGGCUAACUACGUGCCAGCAGCCGCGGUAAAACGUAGGUCACAAGCGUUGUCCGGAAUUACUGGGUGUAAAGGGAGCGCAGGCGGGAAGACAAGUUGGAAGUGAAAUCUAUGGGCUCAACCCAUAAACUGCUUUCAAAACUGUUUUUCUUGAGUAGUGCAGAGGUAGGCGGAAUUCCCGGUGUAGCGGUGGAAUGCGUAGAUAUCGGGAGGAACACCAGUGGCGAAGGCGGCCUACUGGGCACCAACUGACGCUGAGGCUCGAAAGUGUGGGUAGCAAACAGGAUUAGAUACCCUGGUAGUCCACACCGUAAACGAUGAUUACUAGGUGUUGGAGGAUUGACCCCUUCAGUGCCGCAGUUAACACAAUAAGUAAUCCACCCUGGGGAGUACGACCGCAAGGUUGAAACUCAAAGGAAUUGACGGGGGCCCGCACAAGCAGUGGAGUAUGUGGUUUAAUUCGACGCAACGCGAAGAACCUUACCAAGUCUUGACAUCCCUUGACAGACAUAGAAAUAUGUAUUCUCUUCGGAGCAAGGAGACAGGUGGUGCAUGGUUGUCGUCAGCUCGUGUCGUGAGAUGUUGGGUUAAGUCCCGCAACGAGCGCAACCCUUAUGGUCAGUUACUACGCAAGAGGACUCUGGCCAGACUGCCGUUGACAAAACGGAGGAAGGUGGGGAUGACGUCAAAUCAUCAUGCCCUUUAUGACUUGGGCUACACACGUACUACAAUGGCGUUAAACAAAGAGAAGCAAGACCGCGAGGUGGAGCAAAACUCAGAAACAACGUCCCAGUUCGGACUGCAGGCUGCAACUCGCCUGCACGAAGUCGGAAUUGCUAGUAAUCGUGGAUCAGCAUGCCACGGUGAAUACGUUCCCGGGCCU